UACGUAGGGUGCGAGCGUUGUCCGGAAUUACUGGGCGUAAAGAGCUCGUAGGUGGUUUGUCGCGUUGUUCGUGAAAACCGGGGGCUUAACCCUCGGCGUGCGGGCGAUACGGGCAGACUGGAGUACUGCAGGGGAGACUGGAAUUCCUGGUGUAGCGGUGGAAUGCGCAGAUAUCAGGAGGAACACCAAUGGCGAAGGCAGCUUCUUGGUCCAUAUCUGACGUUGAGGCACGAAAGCGUGGGGAGCAAACAGG
rnacentral:rRNA from 1 species